AUGAUCUCACGGUCCGUGAGUUCGAGCCCCGCGUCGGGCUCUGUGCUGACCGCUCAGAGCCGGGAGCCUGUUUCAGAUUCUGUGUCUCCCUCUCUCUCUGCCCCUCCCCCGUUCAUGUUCUGUCUUUCUCUGUCUCAAAAAUAAAUAAAUGUUAAAAAUAAAUAAAUAACUAAAACAAAGUGUGAGAGUCCGAGGAAAACACUGAAGGAAGGAAGCAUCGAAGCACGUAUCUCCUGCAGCUGGAGUGCAAAUGAGGCUUGCACAAUCUGGGCUCAGGACCAGAGUGUCGUGGAGACAGAGAUCAAGUUACACGUGAGCCCACCAGCUUGGGUUUCCUCUCUCGAAGGCUGAUCCAGCUGCUGCCCUGGCUGAAUUCCAACCUGUCAUCAGCAGAGACCAUGCCGACCCCCUGAGACGUGAACACCCCGUGAGGAGACCAGCUAGCCCCUCGGUGGCAAGUUUAUCACCUAGGACCUCUUCCACCCUAGAAAGGGCAGUGAUCCACUCUGUCCAGGAUCGAUGCCUAGUCUGAGAAUGGGUCUGCCUCUCCUUCUUAUGGAGCCUUAGGUCGCCGCCACUGUCUGAAAGCUCACGGACACGGGCUCCCGUACAACAUCACUACAGACAGAGCCUACUUACAGAAAGGCGGUGUGCCCGUGGAUACAUUCUGAUAGGUUCCACUGGCCCUACCACAGGGUGCACCAUGCUGAUCUCAUGGAUGGUAGAAUGGCCUCUUCGAGAUGCAGCUGAGGUACCAAAGGGGUGACAUCCUGGGAGAAUGGGCUGCUACUCUCCAGGUCACACUGCACAUGGCAAAACAAUGACCACCCCAUGGUCUGCCAACAGGCAGACAGAUUAAACUCAAUGUGAGAAGCAAGUGGAUCUGAGCGGGGCAAGGAGAGGACUGUAUGAACACCAAUGCUCCACCCAGAUCCCCUCUGCUGGGCCCAGGCACCCCUCCCCCAGCUGUGGGAGUAUGGACCCUUUCUCUAGAGAAUGGCCCUGAGGAGGCAGGAGCUGCGUCAUCUGGGAAGUUGCACCCUCUUGGGGGCAGCCGGCAGCCCACAAUGACCAACGCAGAGUAUGAAAUGAAUGCCAGCUCCCUUCCUUCAGGAGAGACUACUCUGUGAUGCGCUCAUGCUCUGAAGCCCUCGCUCUGGGAUCAAGCCAAGAGGGUCCUCUCCCUGCGCCACCCCCCUCUUACAGGUGGUUUCAGAAGAGCCAGCCCACAAUCCAUCAACUUCACAAGAAUCCGGGUCUCAGGCUCUGCUUCCGGAGAGCCCCAUUCAAGGCAACAGCUCUUUGUUCUCGCAUUCUCUAAAUAUUGGUCUUGCCCCCUUGUCUUAGUUGUCUUAGUCUGCAAUUUCUCUGUGUGCAUCUCAACCUCUCCUAUGACCUUAAUAACCAAGCUUUUUUGCAGUUCGUGCAUGCUUUUAUUAAUUUUUAAUAGUUCAUUUUUCCAACAACGUUGAAGUAGUCGAAAAAUAUUGAAAACCUGACAAAUAGGUAUCAUAAAACUUACAUUAUUUUAAACUUAAAUAUUUCAUUUAUACCCCAAGCAGAAUCUAUUAUCAUUUUACUUUCCUGUCUUCAAUGGAAGCAAACGCAUCAAUAAUAUCUUAAAAAUAUACAUGUUACCUAUCUGCUUUUCAA